rnacentral:rRNA from 1 species
UACGGAGGAUGCGAGCGUUAUCCGGAUUUAUUGGGUUUAAAGGGUGCGUAGGCGGAAUAUCAAGUCAGCGGUAAAAAUUCGGGGCUCAACCCCGUCGUGCCGUUGAAACUGAUGUUCUUGAGUGGGCGAGAAGUAUGCGGAAUGCGUGGUGUAGCGGUGAAAUGCAUAGAUAUCACGCAGAACUCCGAUUGCGAAGGCAGCAUACCGGCGCCCAACUGACGUUGAAGCACGAAAGCGUGGGUAUCGAACAGG